rnacentral:misc_RNA from 1 species
GAUGAAGAACGUAGCGAAAUGCGAUAAGUAAUGUGUAUUGCAGAAUUCAGUGAAUCAUCGAAUCUUUGAACGCACAUUGCGCCCGCCAGUAUUCUGGCGGGCAUGCCUGUUCGAGCGUCAUUACAACCCUCAGGCCCCCGGGCCUGGCGUUGGGGAUCGGCGGAAGCCCCCUGUGGGCACACGCCGUCCCUCAAAUACAGUGGCGGUCCCGCCGCAGCUUCCAUUGCGUAGUAGCUAACACCUCGCAACUGGAGAGCGGCGCGGCCAUGCCGUAAAACACCCAACUUCUGAAUGUUGACCUCGAAUCAGGUAGGAAUACCCGCUGAACUUAAGCAUAUCAAUAAGCGGAGGA